rnacentral:rRNA from 1 species
UACGUAGGGUGCUAGCGUUGUCCGGAUUUAUUGGGCGUAAAGGGCGCGUAGGCGGGCUGUCGCGUCUGGGGUGAAAUCCUCCGGCUCAACCGGGGAAGGGCCUCGGGUACGGACGGCCUCGAGGGGGGUAGGGGCGUGCGGAACUGUGGGUGGAGCGGUGAAAUGCGUUGAUAUCCACAGGAACUCCGGUGGCGAAGGCGGCACGCUGGACCCUCACUGACGCUGAGGCGCGAAAGCCAGGGGAGCGAACGGG